AGAGUUUGAUCCUGGCUCAGGAUAAACGCUGGCGGCGUGCCUAACACAUGCAAGUCGAACGCCCUUAGCAAUAAGGGAGUGGCGGACGGGUGAGUAACACGUGGAUAACCUGCCCUGCGGUGAGGAAUACCGGCGAGAAAUCGCCGACAAUACCGCAUGCACUCACGCAAGUGAGUAAAGCUUCGCAAGAGGCGCCACAG
rnacentral:rRNA from 1 species